GCACGACAUCUCUGAAGGUGUUGGUGUCAGUUUGAACAAACGUAGUGACGGGCUUGCAAGUUGCUACAUUCUGACUUGCAGGAUUUUCCAUAUUUGGUCAGCUCUCUUACGUAUGGAAGGAAUACUUAUUAAACAUGUAAGUGAGUAGAGGAACUCGGCCCUAUCUGGAGACUCAAUAAAUUAAAUCUGAUUUGUGACCUCUCCUUGCCUCUUUCUAAUGGGAUAUACAGAGGAAGAAAAUCCAUCAGUAUAAUUUCCUAUAGCUCAUCAUAUCCUUUUCCAUGGUUUUGUUUAGGGUGUUUUAUCCACAGGUGGAGGAGCCCCGUAUAAUUUCCUAGCUCUACGUUCUUAAACCUUUGAACUCUCACAUUUUAGCUGUUUUCAGACAUGGAAUGGUCGGCAGAGCCUGUGUUUUUCGGCUAUAUGCACAGAAGAAAGACUCGAGAUAAUUCUGAAGAAGAUACGUACCUGAAGAAUGCCAGUUUCCAGGGCAAUCAAGAAGUGUGAAUUCACGAAACAAUUAAGGCAAUGGGGAACCCAAACUGAAGAUAAACAAAUGGAGAAAAACAGAGGAAACAGAUGUAACCAAAAAAACAAACAAAAAAAAGGUGCGGGUCUUAUGGUCACAGCAAUCACAACUCAGACCAGAAAA